UCCUCCGUGGCGCAAUUGGCUAGCGCGUCUGACUGUUACUCAUUGGAGUCAUCAGGAGGUUCGUGGUUCGAGCCCACGCGGGGGAG